UACGAAGGGGGCUAGCGUUGCUCGGAAUCACUGGGCGUAAAGGGUGCGUAGGCGGGUCUUUAAGUCCGGGGUGAAAUCCUGGAGCUCAACUCCAGAACUGCCUUUGAUACUGAAGAUCUUGAGUUCGGGAGAGGUGAGUGGAACUGCGAGUGUAGAGGUGAAAUUCGUAGAUAUUCGCAAGAACACCAGUGGCGAAGGCGGCUCACUGGCCCGAUACUGACGCUGAUGCACGAAAGCGUGGGGAGCAAACAGG
rnacentral:rRNA from 1 species